AAAACCUAAACUGAACUUUUUCCAUUCAGUCAGCAUUAGGGUUUUAAACCCUAAACUGAACUUUUCCAUUUAGUCAGCAUUAGGGUUUUAAACCCUAAACUGAACUUUUCCCAUUUAGUCAGCAUUAGGGUUUUAAACCCUAAACUGAACUCUUUCCUUUAGUCAGCAUUAGGGUUUUAAACCCUAAACUAAACUUUUCCCUUUAGUCAGCAUUAGGGUUUUAAACCCUAAACUGAACUUUUCCCAUUUAGUCAGCAUUAGGGUUUUAAACCCUAAAUUGAACUCGUUCCUUUAAGUCAACAUUAGGGUUUUAAACCCUAAACUGAACUCUUCCAUUUAGUCAGCAUUAGGGUUUUAAACCCUAAACUGAACUCUUCCAUUUAGUCAGCAUUAGGGUUUUAAACCCUAAACUGAACUUUUCCAUUCAAACAGCAUUAGGGUUUUAAACCCAAAACUGAACUUUUCCUUUAGUCAGCAUUAGGGUUUUAAACCCUAAACUGAACAUUUUCCAUUUAGUCAGCAUUAGGGUUUUAAAACCUAAACUGAACUUUUUCCAUUCAGUCAGCAUUAGGGUUUUAAACCCUAAACUGAACUUUUCCAUUCAGUCAGCAUUAGGGUUUUAAACCCUAAACUGAACUUUUCCUUUAGUCAGCACUAGGGUUUUGAACCCUAAACUGAACUUUUCCAUUCAGUCAGCAUUAGGGUUUUAAACCCUAAACUGAACUUUUCCAUUUAGUCAGCAUUAGGGUUUUAAACCCUAAACUGAACUUUUCCAUUUAGUCAGCAUUAGGGUUUUAAACCCUAAACUGAACUUUUCCAUUUAGUCAGCAUUAGGGUUUUAAACCCUAAACUGAACUUUUCCAUUCAGUCAGCAUUUGGGUUUUAAACCCUAAACUAA
rnacentral:lncRNA from 1 species